rnacentral:rRNA from 1 species
AUUACACGUGAGCACCUGCCCUGAUCUGGGAUAGCGCUGGAAACGGGGUCUAUACUGGAUAUGUGACGUGACCGCAUUGGUCUGNGUCUGGAAAGAAUUUCGGGUGGGGAUGGGCUCGCGGCUAUUCAACUUGUUGGUGAGGUAAUGGCUCACCAAGGCGUCACGGAUAGCCGGCUGAAAAGGUGAACGGCACACUGGGGACUGAAACACGGCCAACUCCUACGGGGAGGCACAUGGGGGAAUAUUGCACGAUGGGGCGCAAGCCUGAUGCAGCAUGCCGCGUUGUUAUGAAGAAGGCCUUCGGGUUGUAAAAGUACUUUCAGCGGGGAGGAAGGUGUUGUGGUUAAUAACCACAGCAAUUGACGUUACCCGCAGAAAAGCACCGGCUAACUCCGUGCCAGCAGCCGCGGUAAUACGGAGGGUGCAAGCGUUAAUCGGAAUUACUGGGCGUAAAGCGCACGCAGCGGUCUGUCAAGUCGGAUGUGAAAUCCCCGGGCUCAACCUGGGAACUGCAUUCGAAACUGGCAGGCUAGAGUCUUGUAAGGGGGGUAAAUUCCAGGUGUACGGUGAAAUGCGUAAGAUCUGGAGGAAUACCGGUGG